rnacentral:lncRNA from 1 species
UCUCAAAAAUCCACACAUAUUCCCUUCUCUUUCUCCUUUCUCUCAAACACAAAAAAUUUAGUCAUCUUUUUUCUUUCUCUCACACACAUAUGUUUGUCACCAUAUAUACAUUUCUUUCUUCUUUCUCCCCUCUCUCAAAAUAUGAACAAAUCAAUUUUCUUUUAUAUAUACAUAUAUAUAUAUAUAUUUUUUUUUUUUUCAAAAAUACAAUACACACAUUUUUUCUCUUCUCACAUACAAAUACACAAAUAAAAUACACAUUCACAAAUACAUAUACACAUUCAUCAUACUCACAUAUUUUUCUUCUCUCUCAAACACACACUUCUUCACUACACACACAUUCUUCACCACACAUAUAUAUUAAUCAUACACAAAUUUUGUUCAUAUUUUUCUUUUUCUCAAAAACACAUACAUAUACUCAAAAUAAAUACUUUGGCCGAUGAAAACAUCUAUCCGUCGGAUAUUUAAGGCCACUCCAUUACAAACGACGGAUUUUAUUUUCAAAAGAUUACUAUUUUAUAUCAAAAUAAAUAUUUGGCCAAUGACAUUAUCUCUCCAUCGGAUACUUGAGGCCACCCCGUGACUAAAGACGAAUUUUUUUUUCUCAAAAUUUACUUAUUUACAUAAAAAAAUAAAUGCUUGGCCAAUAACAUUAUCUCUCCGUCGGAUACUUGAGGCCACCCCAUUACAAAGACGAACUUUAUUUUUCUCAAGUUUAUUUAUUCAUAUCAAGUAUCAAUAUAAUGGCCGAUGAAUAAAUUCGCCGUCGAUUUUCGCGGUCUUCACAAAUAAAAGGACGGACAUUACGUAUACAAAUACGUAAUAAAAAUAAACAACGGGCAAUGACGAAACUUUUAUAACACCACGACACCACAAAAGGUAUUAUGAUUCAUAUCUUGGCAAGGCGAUUUAGGAGGGCCGAUUAAUCGAGCAACCACUUCGUAGCCAUGACAAGUCUAAAACUUAAUCCGAGCCCAUUUUAUAACAAGACAUUAUUUUUAUAUGUACAUCUAUAUGUACAUGUGUGUGCACAUAAUUUCACUUACUUUAAUGAUUAUUUCUUCAUUACUUUAUCAAGCACUUAUAAAUAAUUCUCGAGCUUUAUGUUUGUAGUUUAUUUCUCGUUUGUAUAUUUGUACAUAAAGAUAAAAGAUAGUGAAAACUUUAUUUUUUGGGUGCUGGGUGGGGAUAUUCUUUAUUUACAUAAUUUCAUCACUUUUAAGCAAAACUUAGACCGUUAAUAUUUACAUAAAAGAAUCAAGUUAAUCAAGUGAUUCACGAAUUAUGUAGUCUUUUCUUCUCAGAUAAAUUUUAAUUUUUUGUUAUUUUAAUCAAAUAAAAAUUUGACUUGUAAAUACCUUUUCUCUUCAUGGCACAUCAAAAUACAUUUCUUUUUGUACAUCAUAAAAUACUUUUCUUUUUCACGUGUAAUUUAUACAUUUUUAUACAUAUCUUUUAAAUAUUUUUGUAACAACAGAUUUUAUUUAUAUAGUUAAUAUACAUAUACUUUUACAUAGUUUUACAUUUAUAUUUUUUCAAAAGAAUUAUUUUACACUUAAUACACAUACACUUUUAUAUUAUUUUAAAUAUUUAUACCUCUUCCCUCAUUGAUAAGUUUAGUCUAGCUUGGUACCACGUUUGUGGAUCCUUAAGGAUGCCUAACCCCUUUCCUUCGGGAUAAUUUGAACCCUUACCUAGAGUCUCAAUAGGUUUUCGCAGACUAAAACAUUAGCUAUAUGCAUUUACAAAUAAAUAGGUUUCCUUAUUUUCCUUUAGAAAUUAGGUAGCGACUCUGUUCAAAUUUUAAUUCUUUUAGAGUCCAUAACGUCAUGUUUUGUUUAACCUUGGUAAAAAUAGGGCAUGACAGUUAGUACAUAUAAAAUAUGUACUAGUAUGUAAAGCAAACAGAAUAACAAGUAGAUGCAUAAGGAUGUUCAAUGCAUCCAACAACAAAAUGAGCAACUACGGAUGACUGAAUACUAGAAACUCUUAUAUGAAACUAUUACGUAUGCAUUUACCUUAUUAACUUAUCACAUAAUUGUUUACCGCUUACGAGUAAGUCAUCAUUAUUAAGGGCCUAGUAAUCUGUCUAAGUGAUGUCAUGUGCCUAUUUUUAAUAUAAAUAAUCAUGGGCAUUCUAUAUCAAGUGUACGACAUAUGUUCCAUAGAUACUCCUGACUAUGAUUUUAUAUGUAUAACUAUAAUCGCAGUCAGAUACAGGGUACGGCUCUCCUUAGGAGCUCACUCUAAGGGUCUGUCCGCAGGUCAUAUGUGCCAUAUAUUGGCUCAAGUCAGGGGCAUCCCAGUUGACUCCAAAUGCAAAUGAAGACACAAGGGAAGGUACGCCAUAAUGUUUGGGCUCACUAUAAUUGUCUGGUCUCGAUCCUGUGCACAGAAUCACGUCGAGCGAUAUGCCAAGCUAAACCUAUGUACUCUUCCGUCGUUAACUGUAUCAAGUAGUUCCUUCUAAGCCUAUGCAAGUGGAUCAUGAUAAAUACUAUCCAGGCAUUAAAGUAAUGCUUCUCAUAUUCCACUAACUUCCUUACUAGUAUCGAGCUAUUCAAAUACUAGUUCUUAACUAUAUUGCUAUGUGAUCCAAUAUACAAAUACGACUGUACUAUGGCCCG